rnacentral:rRNA from 1 species
GAACAUCAGUGGGGAAGGCGAGUUCCUGGCAAGUGAUUGACGCUGAGGCGCGAAAGCGUGGGUAGCAAACAGGAUUAGAUACCCUGGUAGUCCACGCCGUAAACGAUGUGCACUAGGUGUUGGGGUGUCGAAACUUCAGUUCCGGAGCUAACGUGGUAAGUGCACUCUCUGGGGAGUAUGCCGGCAACGGUGAAACUCAAUGAAAUUAACGGGGGGCCGCACAAGCGGUCGAGCAUGUGGUUUAAUUCGAUGAUACGCGAGAAACCUUCCCAGGGCUUGACAUAUACCGGGAGUCGUGAGAGAUCACGGUGCCCUUCGGGGCCGGUAUACAGGUGCUGCAUGGCUGUCGUCAGCUCGUGCCGUGAGGUGUUGGGUUAAGUCCCGCAACGAGCGCAACCCUUAUUGUCUGUUGCUAACAGGUAACGCUGUGGAGUCAGAUGAGACUGCCGGUGACAAUCACGGAGGAAGAGUGGGGAGGGAGGUCAAGAUCAUCCAUGGUGCCCCUAUGUCCUGGGGGUACACACGU